AAGGCAUUGUCUCAAGAUCAAAAAGAUCGAGGUAUGCUUUCUUGGUUCCAAAGGCCAGCGGAUUCUUUCGAUAAUAGGCAGCAGCCUCUUGCUCUCUACCGUGCAACUGACAAGUUGAGAUCGCAGCCCUCGUCAGACCCCCUGACCACCCAAAAACAAUUUCACUUGAUGUCGGCCGCCUUCGGCAACGACGACGGCGACGAUGCGGCGGUGGCAGUCGGCACAGAUCUUUCGGUGGCUACCUCCAGCGCUUCUCCUCCUUCUCCCCCGGGUUUUCUGUCGGCGUCGCCCCCGGCGGCGGCAGCAUUCCGGCCUCCUCCGACGGGUACGGCUUCUCGUCCGCGAUGACCGAGAUUCUUCACCCCGACCCUGACCAGAUGCAGCGCGAGAAGGGAUUCAUCCUUCGGGAGUGGCGCCGGCGAGGGACUUUCCUUGUAGAUCCGAUCAUUCGUCGAUUCGCCAAAAUGCCAUCCUGCUUGAGGAGGAGAGGAAGGAAAAGGAAUGUUGAAAUCAAAUUAUCGCUGAAGCUGAACAGUACAAGCAAGCUUUCUAUGAGAAAGGGAAAUUGAACUGUGAGACAAACAAGUUGCAAAACAGAGAAAGAGAGAAGCUAUACCUCUCCAACCGGGAGAAGUUCCACACAGAUGCCGAUAAACAAUACUGGAAAGCAAUUGCUAAGCUUAUAACCAAUGAGAUAGCCAACAUCGAGAAGAGAGGGAAGAAAGAGGAGCAGAAGCCUUCACAGACCAAAGCCUGGAAAGCCCACUGAUCUCUCAACAAUGCGCCAGAUUUUGGUAAAGCUGAAGCAUACUCCCACACCACCUUCCUCUUCACCAGCCAAAGAUGUUGCUGCAGCCGAGAGAUCUCUGUGCCAGAAGGGCAAGCAGUCAAACCAGAGGUAGCUGCAACUGCUUGAUCCUCACAUGCAACUAUUCGAUAUUUAUGUCGAAUGAUUUCCUGCCAUACCAGUGAGUUCUGCACUCCAUCGGUUGUCCUACCUUUUGCUAAACCGGUUCAUCGGGAAUCAGGUUUGGCAUACAUUGCUCAUCAGAUAUGUUGAUAAACUUUCAACUGUCUGGCUUUUCUGUCUCAGGUUCUUAUCAAGUUGGACGUGCUGCUAUUGCAAUAGAGUUUUGUGAUGUUUUUUUACCCAAUUGCAAUGCAAUUUGUGGUCUGUAAUAUCUAAUUAGACCAUGUAUACUGGCUGCUGUUAGCAAAAGAGUUGAACAUUUCAGUCCUAGUACUCAUUUUGCGAGUAAAAAGGCUAAACUGUAUCCGAGUUAAAGCGAGGGAGACCUGUAACCCUUUCCAAGAUUAGAUAUAGCUAUGUAUCAUGUUGCCAAACGAUGUUUCUUUCGACUGAAGAAGACAGAUGUGAGAAGAUAGGCAUCAAUCACAAAGUGACAUGUGGAUCAAUUAU